GCGCAGCAGUCGCGAAUGCGUGAGCCGGCUAAUCUGAGUGGUUCCCCAUCGGGAACCUUUUGCCAAGUGUACAAAGCUUGGCGAAUAAGGAGAGGGCAAGACUGGUGCCAGCUGCCGCGGUAAAACCAGCUCUUCGAAUCGUGGGCAUGAUUAUUUGGCUUAAAGUGUGCGUAGCAGGACAGGAUAAGUCUCCUGUGAAACUGCCAGGUCUUAAGCCUGGCGCGUGCGGGAGAUACUAUCCGUCUUGGGGACCGGGAUAGGUAUGAUGUACACAAAUGGGU
rnacentral:rRNA from 1 species